AUUGAACGCUGGCGGCAUGGCUUAACACAUGCAAGUCGAACGGCAGCACGGUCUAGUUUACUAGAUGGGUGGCGAGUGGCGAACGGGUGAGUAACGCGUAGGAAUAUGCCUUAAAGUGGGGAGUAACAUGGGAAACUCAUGCUAAUACCGCAUAUGCUCUGAGGAGUAAAGCUGGGACCUUCGGGCCUGGCGCUUUAAGAUUAGCCUGCGUCCGAUUAGCGUAGUUGGUAGGGUAAAGGGCCUACCAAGGCGACGAUCGGUAGUUGGUCUGAGAGGAUGAUCAGCCACACUGGAACUGAGACAGCGGUCCAGACUCCUACGGGAGGCAGCAGUGGGGAACUAUUGGACAAUGGGGGCAACCCGUGAUCCGAGC
rnacentral:rRNA from 1 species